GUACUUUCUUUGGCAACACAUAUACUGUAUUUGGAAUGACACAGAUUAGCAUGGCCCCUGCGCAAGGGUGACAUAAAAAUUUGUGAAACACUCCAUAUUUUU